rnacentral:rRNA from 1 species
GACGAACGCUGGCGGCGUGCUUAACACAUGCAAGUCGAGCGGUAAGGCCCUUUCGGGGGUACACGAGCGGCGAACGGGUGAGUAACACGUGGGUGACCUGCCCUCAGCUCUGGGAUAAGCCUGGGAAACCGGGUCUAAUACUGGAUAUGACUCCAUGACGCAUGUUGUGGGGUGGAAAGCCUUGUGCGGCUGAGGAUGGGCCCGCGGCCUAUCAGCUUGUUGGUGGGGUGANGGCCUACCAAGGCGACGACGGGUAGCCGGCCUGAGAGGGCGACCGGCCACACUGGGACUGAGACACGGCCCAGACUCCUACGGGAGGCAGCAGCGGGGAAUCUUGCGCAAUGGGCGAAAGCCUGACGCAGCGACGCCGCGUGAGGGAUGACGGCCUC